GCGGUGCCUCGGGAGGAGCUGUUUGUGACAUCCAAGCUGUGGAACACCAAGCACCACCCCGAGGAUGUGGAGCCUGCCCUCCAGAAGACUCUGGCUGACCUCCAGCUGGAGUAUCUGGACCUGUACCUGAUGCACUGGCCUUAUGCCUUUGAGCGGGGAGACAACCCCUUCCCCAAGAAUGCUGAUGGGACUAUAUGCUACGACUCCACCCACUACAAGGAGACUUGGAAGGCUCUGGAGGCACUGGUGGCUAAGGGGCUGGUGCGGGCGCUGGGCCUGUCCAACUUCAACAGUCGGCAGAUUGAUGACAUACUCAGUGUGGCCUCCGUGCGUCCAGCUGUCUUGCAGAUGGCAGGUCCAGCGGAAAGUGAUCUGCAUCCCCAAAAGUAUCACUCCUUCUCGAAUCCUUCAGAAUAUCAAGGUGUUUGACUUCACCUUUAGCCCAGAAGAGAUGAAGCAGCUAAAUGCCCUGAACAAAAAUUGGCGAUAUAUUGUGCCUAUGCUUACGGUGGAUGGGAAGAGAGUCCCAAGGGAUGCAGGGCAUCCUCUGUACCCCUUUAAUGACCCGUACUGAGACCACAGCUUCUUGGCCUCCCUUCCAGCUCUCCAGCUAAUAAGGUCCUGCCACAACGGAAAGAGGGAGUUAAUAAAGCCAUUGGAGCAUCCA
rnacentral:sRNA from 1 species